rnacentral:rRNA from 1 species
AGGGUGUAAACGCUGCAGACUUGGUGUUGGAGGCCCUUUGGGGGCAUUCAGUGCCGGAGAGAAGUUGUUAAGUCUGCUACUUGGGAGUACGUCCGCAAGGAUGAAACUUAAAGGAAUUGGCGGGGGAGCACCGCAACGGGAGGAGCGUGCGGUUUAAUUGGAUUCAACACCGUAAAACUCACCAGGGAAGACUGUUACAUGAAGGCCGAGAUGAAGACUCUGCUAGAUUUUCAGAGAGGUGGUGCAUGGCGUCAGUAACU